rnacentral:rRNA from 1 species
CUGGCGGCGUGCCUAACACAUGCAAGUCGAACGGGAAUCUUCGGAUUCUAGUGGCGGACGGGUGAGUAACGCGUAAGAAUCUAACUUCAGGACGGGGACAACAGUUGGAAACGACUGCUAAUACCCGAUGUGCCGCAAGGUGAAAACUAAUUGGCCUGAAGAAGAGCUUGCGUCUGAUUAGCUAGUUGGUGGGGUAAGAGCCUACCAAGGCGACGAUCAGUAGCUGGUCUGAGAGGAUGAGCAGCCACACUGGGACUGAGACACGGCCCAGACUCCUACGGGAGGCAGCAGUGGGGAAUUUUCCGCAAUGGGCGAAAGCCUGACGGAGCAACGCCGCGUGAGGGAGGAAGGUCUUUGGAUUGUAAACCUCUUUUCUCAAGGAAGAAGUUCUGACGGUACUUGAGGAAUCAGCCUCGGCUAACUCCGUGCCAGCAGCCGCGGUAAUACGGGGGAGGCAAGCGUUAUCCGGAAUUAUUGGGCGUAAAGCGUCCGCAGGUGGUCAGCCAAGUCUGCCGUCAAAUCAGGUUGCUUAACGACCUAAAGGCGGUGGAAACUGGCAGACUAGAGAGCAGUAGGGGUAGCAGGAAUUCCCAGUGUAGCGGUGAAAUGCGUAGAGAUUGGGAAGAACAUCGGUGGCGAAAGCGUGCUACUGGGCUGUAUCUGACACUCAGGGACGAAAGCUAGGGGAGCGAAAGGGAUUAGAUACCCCUGUAGUCCUAGCCGUAAACGAUGGAUACUAGGCGUGGCUUGUAUCGACCCGAGCCGUGCCGAAGCUAACGC